rnacentral:rRNA from 1 species
GACGAACGUUGGCGGCGUGCUUAAUACAUGCAAGUCAACUGAAGCAGUGGUAGCAAUAUCGCUGUGGAGGUGGCGCACGGGUGAGUAACACGUAGGUAAUCUGCCUUCAGGUCUGGCAUAACUCCGGGAAACCGGGGCUAAUAGCAGAUGAUGCAGCGGCUCGACAUCGAGACAGUUGUUAAAGCUAUGGCGCCUGAAGAUGAGCCUGCGUCUGAUUAGCUAGUUGGCGGGGUAACGGCCCACCAAGGCAACGAUCAGUAGCUGGUCUGAGAGGAUGAUCAGCCACACUGGAACUGAGACACGGUCCAGACUCCUACGGGAGGCAGCAGUAAGGAAGAUUGCUCAAUGGGAGAAAUCCUGAAGCAGCAACGCCGCGUGAGGGACGAAGGGCUUUUGCUUGCAAACCUCUGUAGUGAGAGAAAAAAAUCCCAAUCUUUGGGACAUGAUGGUAUCUCAAAAGUAAGCCCCGGCUAACUACGUG